GGAAAAGAAGUCCGCUGCCGAAAGCAAGAAGAGAGCUGAGAAGGCUAAGAACGCUGCCAACGCUGCCAGAGGUCAGGCGAGCAGAAUCCAAAGCAAACAGGGUGCUAAGGGUGCGCCACCCAAGGUUGCUGCUAAGUCUCGUUAAAAUUUGGGAUUCGGUAGUGGCGCCCGGUGAUUUUUGUGGAAUGGAAGGGACCAGUGCAAUUACGAAUAUCAAUGUGCUAGAGUCCCCCAUCAUCUAACAACUGGGAAUUUUGUAUUCCUUACAUAUCAGAACUCUUCUAGGCGAAGAUAGUUUUCUGCUAUGGGACGUUUUGCAAGUACGAUGUUCUAAUGCAAAUGGAUUCCUGCUAUUUUUCUUUCUUAUUUCUUUUUACGCUUUCAAUGUACUGUGAUCUAGUUUAAAUAAAGAGAGAACUCGGUUAGC
rnacentral:sRNA from 1 species